ACCAAGCAGGAAGUAACAAGCCUUGGUUGGCUUUGGCUAGACGAGUGGCGGACGCUUGUUGAGUAAUGUAUGGGAAUCUGCCUGGUGGAGGGGGAUAACUACUGGAAACGGAAGCUAAUACCGCAUACCGCCUAAGGACGAAAGAGGGGGACCUUCGGGCCUCUUGCCAUCGGAUGUGCCCAGAUGGGAUUAGCUAGUAGGGGGGGUAACGGCUCACCUAGGCGACGAUCCCUAGCUGGUCUGAGAGGAUGACCAGCCACACUGGAACUGAGACACGGCCCAGACUCCUACGGGAGGCAGCAGUGGGGAAUAUUGCACAAUGGGCGCAAGCCUGAUGCAGCCAUGCCGCGUGUAUGAAGAAGGCCUUCGGGUUGUAAAGUACUUUCGGCGGGAAGGAAGGCGAUAUGGUUAAUACCCUUGUGUUUUGACGUUACCCGCAGAAUAAGCACCGUUUAUCUCCGUGCCAGCACCCGCGGUAAUACGGAGGGUGCAAGCGUUACUCGGAAUUACUGGGCGUAAAGCGCGCGCAGGCGGUCUGUAAAGUCGGAUGUGAAAUCCCCGGGCUCAACCUGGGAACUGCAUUCGAAUACUGACAGGCUAGAGUCUUGUAGAGGGGGGUAGAAUUCCAUGUGUAGCGGUGAAAUGCGUAGAGAUCUGGAGGAAUACCGGUGGCGAAGGCGGCCCCUGCACAAGUACUGACGCUCGAGUGCGAAAGCGUGGAGAGCAACAGGAUUAGAUACCCUGGUAGUCAACGCGUAAACGAUGCGACUGAGUUGGGGCCCAUGAGGCUAGCAUCAGAAUUAACGCGUUAAGUCUACCGCCUGGGAUACGGCGAAGUAUAGACUCAAUGAUAUGACGGAGCCCCGCACAAGGGGAUGAAAUGUGGAUUCAUC
rnacentral:rRNA from 1 species